rnacentral:lncRNA from 1 species
UGCAAUUCUUUAAUAAGUUGCUUGAAAAUCUUGCUAAAAUAUGUAGUUGGUGACCUACUAGAUUGACCAUGUGCUGAAAAUCAACACAAAUCAGCCAAAUACAUCAGCCUUGUGAUUCGUAUCAUGUUAUAUGUAUAGAUCAAGAGAGAGAAAGUUCUCAAAAUUUGCUCAUUUGCUAUCUAUCACCCAACCAACACCUCUUUCCAAACCCACGAAAAAUAUAAGUAUAUCAGUCCCCAAUCAAGUCCCUACUACUUCCAUAACAGAUUAAGAAGCCAAAAUUCAAGAUUUGUCUAAG